rnacentral:lncRNA from 1 species
NNNCGGGGCGCGGGGUCGGCCGCCGCACGCCCGCGCGCCCCGGAGUACAAUGGGCGCCCAUUGUUACCGCGCUGGCGCCGCCCGCAGGGGGCCGCUAGGUCCCGAGCGGCGGCGCCCAGCUCCCUUGGCACAAAGGGAGGUCGCGGGACGCUUGCUUCAAAGAGCGACCCCGGGGUGCUGGCUCCCGGUGCCCGAGGACAAAGGGACGCCGCCCGCGCCCGGACACCUGCACUACACCUCGCGCCCCCCUCCCGGUCCGCACAAGCCAGUCGGGCGCGGCGGGCGGGGGACCCUGGAGGAGGCGCGGCCACCCCACCGCGCGGACCCUGCCAGCCCCGGGGCCCCGCCGCCCGGGCCCCCGGCUCCAGGGGCAGGUCGGGUUUUGUUGGUUUCUCGCUCGCUCCCUUUGGAGCUGCUGCCAAAACCCGGAGAGUGGAUUGGGCGUCCUGGCGACGCCCGGGGCUGCCCGCUGGGCGAGGGGCCUGCGAACCGCCGACGCUGCAGGUUUUUCCAGCCCGGGGGGAGGGGCUUCCUCUCCCGCGGGGUCCCUAAAGUCACCGGCCUGAAGCGGGGGCCGGCGGGUGGCGGCUGUCCCCGACGCGCGGCGCAAGGGGCGCAGCUGCCGGCCCGGGAGCCUAGAAUUGGGCCCCGGGAGGCACCUGCGCCCGCCGGUCAUCCCGGUGCCCGCCGCGGCACGCCCCGCCCCUCCGCCCGCAGGCUCGCCCUGGACCCGGUUAAUUAAUUUUCUUAAUCCGUCUGCGUCUCUUCCUUCUCGAGUCCUCCGCCUGGGUUAAUGAGUAGGCGACAGGAAAGGGCGGUGUUUUCCGGCUGCGAGGUCCCAGCCCGCACGGUCGGCCUGGGGAGGCGGCUGGAGCCCCCCGGGGUGGAGGGGGGUUGGAGGGGAGUCGGGCGCUCGGGGCCUGGCCCGGGCCCUGGGACUCUCGGGUUGGACGGAAAUCCUGGCACAAAGCAGAUACCCUGCAGAGGCCCUUGACUUUCCCGAGCGCGGUCAGCUUCAGGUCCUCGCGGCGACGCGCACCCC